GAUGAACGCUGGCGGCGUGCCUAAUACAUGCAAGUCGAGCGAAUGGAUUAAGAGCUUGCUCUUAUGAAGUUAGCGGCGGACGGGUGAGUAACACGUGGGUAACCUGCCCAUAAGACUGGGAUAACUCCGGGAAACCGGGGCUAAUACCGGAUAACAUUUUGAACCGCAUGGUUCGAAAUUGAAAGGCGGCUUCGGCUGUCACUUAUGGAUGGACCCGCGUCGCAUUAGCUAGUUGGUGAGGUAACGGCUCACCAAGGCAACGAUGCGUAGCCGACCUGAGAGGGUGAUCGGCCACACUGGGACUGAGACACGGCCCAGACUCCUACGGGAGGCAGCAGUAGGGAAUCUUCCGCAAUGGACGAAAGUCUGACGGAGCAACGCCGCGUGAGUGAUGAAGGCUUUCGGGUCGUAAAACUCUGUUGUUAGCGAAGAACAAGUGCUAGUUGAAUAAGCUGGCACCCUGACGGUACCUAACCAGAAAGCCACGGCUAACUACGUGCCAGCCGCCGCCGUAA
rnacentral:rRNA from 1 species